rnacentral:sRNA from 1 species
AUGAUACAGUGGCACAACAGGGUGAGGAGAUGAUAAUCCAUGACUUCAAACAGCAGCCAGAUGGCCGUGGCGCCAGCGAGUACCCCAACGGAGAUUUUCUUGUUCCUCCAUAGAAAGAGAUCAGCAGGCUUGCCGCCGCCGAGGACGGAGUGGACGGGCUUCUCGCGGCCGAAGAGGCGGUAGAUCUUGGCCUU